rnacentral:misc_RNA from 1 species
UUCGAGCGUCAUUGCAACCCUCAAGCGCUGCUUGGUAUUGGAUGCACCACUUGGUGCGUCUCAAAAAUAUUAGCAGUGGCAUUCAGCUUCUAGUGUAGUAGUUUUCUCGCUUAGGAGUCUUGAGUGGUCUGGCUGCUAAAAACCCUUUAAUUAUCACAAAGGUUGACCUCGGAUCAGGUAGGGAUACCCGCUGAACUUAA